rnacentral:rRNA from 1 species
CCUACGGGAGGCAGCAGUGGGGAAUAUUGGACAAUGGGGGCAACCCUGAUCCAGCCAUGCCGCGUGUGUGAAGAAGGCCCUCGGGUUGUAAAGCACUUUCAGUGAGGAAGAACGCCUGGUGGUUAAUACCCAUCGGAAAGACAUCACUCACAGAAGAAGCACCGGCUAACUCCGUGCCAGCAGCCGCGGUAAUACGGAGGGUGCGAGCGUUAAUCGGAAUUACUGGGCGUAAAGCGCGCGUAGGUGGCUUGAUAAGCCGGUUGUGAAAGCCCCGGGCUCAACCUGGGAACGGCAUCCGGAACUGUCAAGCUAGAGUGCAGGAGAGGAAGGUAGAAUUCCCGGUGUAGCGGUGAAAUGCGUAGAGAUCGGGAGGAAUACCAGUGGCGAGGGCGGCCUUCUGGACUGACACUGACACUGAGGUGCGAAAGCGUGGGUAGCAAACAGGAUUAGAUACCCUAGUAGUC